rnacentral:rRNA from 1 species
ACGAACGCUGGCGGCGUGCUUAACACAUGCAAGUCGCACGGAAAGGCCCUGCUUUUGUGGGGUGCUCGAGUGGCGAACGGGUGAGUAACACGUGAGUAACCUGCCCUUGACUUUGGGAUAACUUCAGGAAACUGGGGCUAAUACCGGAUAGGAGCUCCUGCUGCAUGGUGGGGGUUGGAAAGUUUCGGCGGUGGGGGAUGGACUCGCGGCUUAUCAGCUUGUUGGUGGGGUAGUGGCUUACCAAGGCUUUGACGGGUAGCCGGCCUGAGAGGGUGACCGGCCACAUGGGGACUGAGGUACGGCGCGGACUGCUGCGGGGGGCAGCAGUGGGGAAUAUUGCACAAUGGGCGGAAGCCUGAUGCAGCAACGCCGCGGGCGGGAUGACGGCAUUAGGGUUGUAAACCGCUUUCGCCUGUGACGAAGCGUGAGUGACGGUAAUGGGUAAAGAAGCACCGGCUAAAUACGUG